rnacentral:lncRNA from 1 species
CAGAUUCUGCACUACUCUCAAUACUACGAGGAAAGGAAGCGCGGGUGUGUUUCCCGAGCUGACAUGACUCACACUCUAAUGUGGAUAAACUGGACAAACGAGGCAUCAUCUUCUGAAGUUUGGACAAGCUAGGAUGUCCUAAACGACUGUGAAGUAGGUCUGGAGGAUCUGCAGCUAGACAGGCCUUAGAGGAUGUUAGGGAGUCUAGGAUGUCCUAAACGACUGUGAAGUAGGUCGGGAGGAUCUGCAGCUAGACAGGCCUUAGAGGAUGAUAGUGAGUUAAGGUAAUAGAGUCCGUCUGAUUCAAGUCCUGUUCCAAUCGUCUGUCCCGUACUGGGGUCCUGCAUAAUAAAAGAGUCAUCAAUAAAAUAUAUUCCGCAAUGGGGGGCAAGAAUCAAACGACUAACAGAUGCAAGAUUAAAAGGACAGCCAGGGACAUAAGAGGAUCUGCAACUAGAUAGGCCUUAGAGGAUGUUAGUGAGUUAAGGUAGUAGAGUCCGUCUGAUUCAAGCCCUAUUCCAAUCGUCUGUCCCGUACUGCGGUCCUGCAUAAUAAAAGAGUCAUCAAUAAAAUAU